rnacentral:sRNA from 1 species
CCUCUUCGAUCUGCUGCGGGCAGAUGUAAUGGAUAUGCGCGUCCAUGCCGCCGGCGGUGAUGAUCUUGCCCUCGCCGGCGAUCGCCUCGGUCGAGGGGCCGACGAUGAUGUUGACGCCAGGCUGCGUAUCCGGAUUUCCCGCCUUGCCGAUGGCGUGGAUGCGGCCGUUCUUCAGCCCGAUAUCGGCCUUGACGAUACCCGUGUGGUCGAUGAUCACGACGUUGGUGAUGACGGUGUCGACCGCGCCCUGCGCCCGCGUCGCCUGGCUCUGCCCCAUGCCGUCGCGAAUG